rnacentral:lncRNA from 1 species
UUAAUAACUGAUUUAACCAUCCAUCUUCUUGAACUGACUAUUCUAUGGACUAUUAAUCUAUUUUAUCAAUAUCUUAGAAAAUUGAACUAAUAUCUAUUCUACAUAGCCCCACUCCUAUCUGUGCAGCGUCCUCGCAAACACACAAUUGUUACCUAUCUAAAAACUACUUAACAAAAUUCUACAAAAUUACUAUUUCCUCUGGCCCACCCAAUUGAUCAUUUGCUACAUUAUCUAAUGUACAUUCCACCAAAUCUAGUACCAAUUACAAAUCUUCUUUGUCCUCCAAUCCGUCCAUCGGCUCUUCUUCAAUUGAUUUGAAAGAUCUUCAUUAUACUCUUCCAAUUCACAAACUUAAGCCUUUAGUUUCAAGAUCUAGACAUCUCAAAGUUCCAAUUGUUGCUGCUGCUGACUCAUCCAUUCUAGAACAUCUUCAA